rnacentral:rRNA from 1 species
GAAACACGGACCAAGGAGUCUAGCAUGUGCGCGAGUCAUUGGGACUCCGUUAAACCUAAAGGCGCAAUGAAAGUAAAGGUCCGCCUCGCGCGGACCGAGGGAGGAUGGGUCCGUCCCCGGACGGGCCCCGCACUCCCGGGGCGUCUCGUUCUCAUCGCGAGGAGAGGCGCACCCAGAGCGUACACGCUGGGACCCGAAAGAUGGUGAACUAUGCCUGGUCAGGACGAAGUCAGGGGAAACCCUGAUGGAGGUCCGUAGCGAUUCUGACGUGCAAAUCGAUCGUCGGAACUGGGUAUAGGGGCGAAAGACUAAUCGAACCUUCUAGUAGCUGG